CCUGCCCCUAGAGGCAUUGCAGGAGUGGCUGUUGUGUCACUCGUGCAUCAGUAGGUGGCAGAGAGGAGAAUGACCAUGUCUACAUUCAGUGUUCUGACCUAUGAACACCUGAAUGAUUGCUCCGACCUG
ensembl:snoRNA Gm25170 small nucleolar RNA SNORA17